rnacentral:rRNA from 1 species
UUUGAGUUUGAUCCUGGCUCAGGACGAACGCUGGCGGCGUGCCUAAUACAUGCAAGUCGAGCGGACAGAUGGGAGCUUGCUCCCUGAUGUUAGCGGCGGACGGGUGAGUAACACGUGGGUAACCUGCCUGUAAGACUGGGAUAACUCCGGGAAACCGGGGCUAAUACCGGAUGGUUGUUUGAACCGCAUGGUACAGACAUAAAAGGUGGCUUCGGCUACCACUUACAGAUGGACCCGCGGCGCAUUAGCUAGUUGGUGAGGUAACGGCUCACCAAGGCGACGAUGCGUAGCCGACCUGAGAGGGUGAUCGGCCACACUGGGACUGAGACACGGCCCAGACUCCUACGGGAGGCAGCAGUAGGGAAUCUUCCGCAAUGCACGAAUGUCUGACGGAGCAUCGCCGAGUGAGUGAUGAAGGUUUUCGGAUCGUAAAGCUCUGUUGUUAGGGAAGAACAAGUGCCGUUCAAAUAGGGCGGCACCUUGACGGUACCUAACCAGAAAGCCACGGCUAAUUACGUGCCAGCAGCCGCGGUAAUACGUAGGUGGCAAGCGUUGUCCGGAAUUAUUGGGCGUAAAGGGCUCGCAGGCGGUUUCUUAAGUGUGAUGUGAAAGCCCCCGGCUCAACCGGGGAGGGUCAUUGGAAACUGGGGAACUUGAGUGCAGAAGAGGAGAGUGGAAUUCCACGUGUAGCGGUGAAAUGCGUAGAGAUGUGGAGGAACACCAGUGGCGAAGGCGACUCUCUGGUCUGUAACUGACGCUGAGGAGCGAAAGCGUGGGGAGCGAACAGGAUUAGAUACCCUGGUAUUCCACGCCGUAAACGAUGAGUGCUAAGUGUUAGGGGGUUUCCGCCCCUUAGUGCUGCAGCUAACGCAUUAAGCACUCCGCCUGGGGAGUACGUUCGCAAGACUGA